rnacentral:rRNA from 1 species
GGCGAGUGAAGCGGGAAGAGCUCAAGCUUAAAAUCUCCGUGCAAGUUUUGUGCGGCGAAUUGUAGUCUAUAGAGGCGUGGUCAGCGUGGGCGCUUGGGGCAAGUUCCUUGGAAGAGGACAGCAUGGAGGGUGAUACUCCCGUUCAUCCCUGAGUGGCUCGUGCGUACGACCCGUUUUCUUUGAGUCGCGUUGUUUGGGAAUGCAGCGCAAAGUAGGUGGUAAAUUCCAUCUAAAGCUAAAUAUUGGUGCGAGACCGAUAGCGAACAAGUACCGUGAGGGAAAGAUGAAAAGAACUUUGAAAAGAGAGUUAAAGAGUACCUGAAACUGCUGAAAGGGAACCGAAUCGUUUCCAGUGUCUAUAAUCUGUGGCAUAUUUCAUUGGCGAGCGUUUGCGUGCGUGUGCUGUGGCAGUGGCUUUUUUGGCUGCGCCUGGUGUGUGUGGUGUGAGUGUUUGCUGGUGCCCUGUGCUGCGGUGGGACGUCAAGGUCAGUUCGUAUGCUGCGGGAAAUGGCUGCCGAGGAGGUAGGGCUUACGCUCCGCGUUUGUCUGUUAUAUCUUGGUGGACGAGUCGUCGCGGUUGGGACUGAGGUGCCUACAACGUGCUUUUGAGUGGGUUUGUGUCUCCGUGUGCGCCGUGUGCGGAUAGCUUGCUAUGCGUGUGUGGUUGUGUGUGGAUUGAUGCGGGCCUUAACCUUGUCGCCGUUCGGGACGUUGACGAAAUGGAGCGAUCCGACCCGGUCUUGAAACACGGACCAAGAAAGUCUAA